UACGGAGGGUGCAAGCGUUAUCCGGAUUCACUGGGUUUAAAGGGUGCGUAGGAGGGCAGGUAAGUCAGUGGUGAAAUCUUCGAGCUUAACUCGGAAACUGCCGUUGAUACUAUCUGUCUUGAAUACCGUGGAGAUGAGCGGAAUAUGUCAUGUAGCGGUGAAAUGCUUAGAUAUGACAUAGAACACCAAUUGCGAAGGCAGCUCGUUACACGAAUAUUGACUCUGAGGCUCGAAAGCGUGGGGAUUAAACAGG
rnacentral:rRNA from 1 species